rnacentral:rRNA from 1 species
UACGUAGGGGGCAAGCGUUGUCCGGAAUCUUUGGGCGUAAAGCGCGUGUAGGCGGCUCGGUAAGUCUGCUGUGAAAGUCCAGGGCUCAACCCUGGGAUGCCGGUGGAUACUGUCGAGCUCGAGUCCGGAAGAGGCGAGUGGAAUUCCUGGUGUAGCGGUGAAAUGCGCAGAUAUCAGGAGGAACACCAGUGGCGAAGGCGGUUGCCUGGGGCUUUGCUGACGCUGAUGCGCGAAAGCGUGGGGAGCGAUCCGG